rnacentral:lncRNA from 1 species
UGUCAGUAACCCAAGUUCCAUAGGAAUAUUGCCAGAAAUUUGGUUGUUUGGCAAAAGAAGAUUAACCAGAGAGGUUAAUUUUCCUAAUUCCCUAGGUAUCUGUCCAACCAAAUGAUUGGAUGAAAGAUUAAGUCCUUGAAGCCCUUUGAGGUUUCCAAUCUCCGGUGGUAUGCUACCACUAAUGUUAUUUCUGGCAACCCGCAAAUCAGUCAAACUCUUGCAUUUCCCCCAGUUGCUGCUGAGUUCACCAUGAAAAUCAUUUUCGCUCAAAUUAAUGAAGUAAAGGUGUGGAUGGAUGCCAAAAGCUUCAGAUAAAUUCCCAGUAAAACUGUUGUUAUCCAACCGAACUCUUUUGAAACUCGAGCACUUGCUAAAGCUUCUUGGUAUUGGCCCUGUCAGCUUGUUACUAUUCACCGUGAAGUUCUCAAGUUUCCCACCUUGGCAAGAUUCUCAGGCAAAUGGCCUGAAACUGAUUUUCAUCCAUUUCCAUUAUAACCAAGUUAAUCCAAAUAUGCAAGUCUUUUGGAAUAGGAACCAGAAAGUUUGUUCUCACGGAGAUACAGAAAUUGCAAGUUUCUCAAAUUGCCAAAUGAACCAGGAAUUGGACCGGUAAGUCGAUUAGUGGAUAAUUGCAGAUCAUUCAAUUUUUUCAGAUUCCCCAACUCACUAGGAAUGGGACCAGAAAGUUGGUUGGAAUAAAGGUGCAAGAGUUUGAGCUCAGUUAAGUCACCUAUUGUUUUGGGAAUUGGACCAGAAAGAUUGUUUGUCUGGAAGCUUAAGUUCUCAAGUGACUUCAUUUUCCCAAUUUCAUCAGGAAUGGGACCAGACAAGUUAUUGGAAAAAGCAUAGAACACUUUUGCAUUGAUCCAAUUACCUAUUUCUGGAGGAAUAUGACCUGUUAAUUGGUUUCUACUAAUAUAAGCUUCAACAAGAUUGACAAGUUCUCCUAUUUCUGAAGGAAUGGAGCCAGAAAGCUUAUUAUUAUAAAGAUGCAAAAAAGACAAAUUGUUCAAAUUCCCCAAUGAAGCAGGAAUUGAACCACUAAGAAAGUUAGAACUCAAAGCUAGAUCAGUAAGAGACCUUAGGCGACCUAUUUCCCUCGGAAUGGAACCAUUUAAUUGGUUGCUAAAGAUGUGGAGGGUCUCAAGCUUUGUUAGUGAACUGAUUUGUGGUGGGAUUGUGCCCGAAAUCUGAUUGAUAGACAAGUCAAGAUAGACAAGAUUAGCGAGCUUACCAAUUUCAGGUGGGAUGGUGCCAGAGAGCUGGUUCAUACUAAGAUCAACAUAUUCAAGAAAAGGGAGUGAUGAAAAUGGAAAAUCAUACAGUGUGCCAAUGACACUAGCAUUUGUAAUAUUCAACCUGUUAACCCGACCAUUAACGCAUACAACUCCAUACCAGCCCCUGCAUGCAUCAGAACUCGUCGCUUCAAUUCUGGAAGAAUUCUUGGUACCAGCAGGACUACUUAGUGUCCAUGAAGCCUGUAAGGAAUUGUUCUGGUUUAGGAAUGUUGCUUUCCAUUUAAGAAGAGCAGUUGCUUCCUCAGUGGAAGCAAAAGUUAUAACUAUGAAAAGAUAUAAGAAGGGAAGGAUAUAAAAUAUUGUGGGAACCAUCAUCAAGGCUAAAUGAUUGAUUGUUUUUGGUUUUGUGAUGAAGUUGUUAUUGAAGACUGAUUUAAAGUCUGACUUGGUCAAGUUAAUUUGUUAGUAGUUUCCUAUUUUCUUGGGCUGUUAGCAGUCAUGUUGCAGCAGUUCUCUUUUUUCUAAUUUAGUGGUAGAUGUUGCUUAGUUAGUGGAGUAGUGGUUAACUUAGUGUUUGCUUAUGUUUAAGUCUAUAUAAUGUUGUAUCUUCCUUUGAUGAAUAACAGAUAAGUCAAGUUACAGCAAACUAUUUGAUCCUCUUAUUUUUAGCCUCUGCCUUUAAGUUGUUUACAGCCCUUUUCUCCAACAGACUCUACCUAUGGGAUUAUACCGAUAAAAGAAAGUGCAUGAUAAUAAUUGAAAAGGGAAAAUAUAGGGACGUGCAAAGAGAAGGGAAUCACGUACUAUAAUUAUUUUAUUUAUUAGUACGUAGAAAUGUGUCGUGGUGGUCGAGGCCGUGGUUAUGGAAGAGGCAGAGGGAGGAAUGAUGGGCACAAGCAGUCCAAUGAGCAAGGUAAUAGGAAAAAUGGUAUCCAGUGUCAUCACUGUCAGCGCUAUGGGCAUAUAAGGGCUGAUUGUUGGUAUAGAGAUCAGAAAAUAAAUUUUGCAGCAGGAGAAAAUGAGGAAGAGAAUUAUCUCUUUAUGGCUUGCGUUGAUACAGACCAUAAACCAAGCGAUUUAUGGUUUGUAGAUAGUGGUUGUUCAAACCAUAUGACAGGCGCCAAAUCCUUGUUCAAGGAGCUUGAUGAGAAGCAAAAGAAGACGGUACAACUUGGCAACACAAAAGAGAUGCGGGUUGAAGGAAAAGGCACUGUGAGUAUUGAUACAAGUCAUGAAAAAGUAAAAAUGCUAGAUAACGUCCAAUUUGUACCUGAUUUAGGAUACAAUUUGUUGAGUGUUGGACAACUAAUGAUUGAUGGUCAUUCUCUUUGGUUUGAUGACGAUGCUUGUGUCAUUACAAAUAAGAAGACAGGCAAAAAGGUUCGCAUCUCUAUGACACCAAACAAUAUGUUUCCGCUGGAUGUUUCCAAUAUGGAAAAUUUUGCCCUUGCUGCCAGUGCAAAGGAUGACUCAAAGUUGUGGCACUUGAGGUAUGGUCAUCUCAACAUAAACGGCUUGAAAUUGCUAGUUGACAAAGGUAUGGUUCUUGGACUACCAAAAAUUGAUUCUAUUGAUUUAUGUGAAGGGUGUAUUUAUGGAAAACAAACUAGAAAUUCUUUUCCUGUUGGAAAGGCUUGGAGGGCUUUAAAGUGUCUUGAACUUAUACAUGCUGAUUUAUGUGGACCUAUGCAUAUUACUUCUUUUGGUGGGAGUCGUUAUUUUCUACUCUUUACUGAUGAUUAUAGUCGCAUGAGUUGGGUCUAUUUUUUGGAAAACAAAUCAGAAACAUUUCAAAAAUUCAAGCAUUUUUAGUCCAAGGUUGAGAAACAAAGUGGUUUGUCCAUCAAAACCUUUCGCACUGAUAGAGGAGGUGAAUUCGUGUCCAAGGAAUUCAAUCUUUUUUGUGAAGAAAGUGGCAUUCACAGGGAACUAGCAACACCUUAUACUCCAGAACAAAAUGGUGUCGCUGAGCGGAAAAAUCGCACUGUUGUGGAGAUGGCGAGAAGCAUGUUACAGGCAAAGGGACUUCCGAAUCAUUUUUGGGCUGAAGCUGUGGCAACAUCAGUCCAUUUACUGAAUCUCUCUCCCACAAAGGCUGUUAUGAAUCAAACUCCAUUUGAAGCUUGGCGGGGUAGAAAACCAUCUGUAAGUUAUUUAAGAGUUUUUGGUUGUAUUGCUUAUGCUUUGGUAAAUUCCCAAUUUCGUCAUAAGUUGGAUGAAAAAUCUGAAAAGUGUAUUUUUAUUGGUUAUUGUACACAAUCCAAAGCGUAUAGACUCUAUAACCCCCUUAGCAGAAAGAUUUUAAUCAGAAGGGAUGUAGUAUUUGAUGAAAUGGCUAGCUGGAAUUGGAGUGGAAGCAAUGGUAAGAAGCAAGAACAGAUUCUUACGCCAACAGGAAUCACCUUUGAUGGAAUUCAACAGUCAACUCCUACAGCUACGGAAGUGAGUUCUUCUACAUCUUCCCCAGAUUCAUCCUCUUCAGCUUCAUCAAGCAGAAACUCUGCAUCUACAACUCCUGAACAGUCUCCAGAAGAGUCAGCUCCACUAAGAAGAUCAACAAGGAUUACAAAGCCGAAUUCCAAGUAUGCUAGUGACAUGUUUACGUCUUGUCAGUUUUCUUUUACUGUUUCAGAUCCAAUACAUUAUGAAGAAGCAGCUGAAAAGGAAGAGUGGAGGAAUGCGAUGCUAGAAGAGAUGAUUUCUAUCGAAAAGAAUGGCACAUGGGAGAUGGUGGAAUUACCGGAAAACAAAAAUGUAAUUGGCUUGAAGUGGAUCUUCAAGACAAAGUUUGCGGCAGAUGGCAGCCUACAGAAGCAUAAAGCUCGUCUCGUGGCAAAAGGAUAUGCACAGCAAUAUGGUAUUGAUUUUGAAGAAACAUUUUCUCCAGUUGCUCGGUUUGAAACUGUGAGACUUGUUCUAGCAUUGGCAGCACAGACACAAUGGCUAGUUUAUCAAUUUGAUGUCAAGUCAGCAUUUCUCAAUGGAGAAUUGCAAGAAGAGGUCUAUGUAGCACAACCAGAAGGUUUCAUAAAGAAGGGCAGUGAAACAAAGGUCUACAAGCUAAAAAAGGCAUUAUAUGGUUUGAAGCAAGCCCCUCGAGCGUGGUAUAGCAAGAUCGAUGGGUACUUUCAGAAAAAGGGAUAUAUGAGAAGUGAGAAUGAACCCACGUUGUAUGUAAAGAGUAAAGGUAAUGAUUUCAUCAUUGUUUGCCUUUACGUUGAUGAUAUCAUUUAUACUAGCUCGUCUUUUUCUCUUGUGGAUGAAUUCAAGUCUCAAAUGAAGAAUGAGUUUGAGAUGUCGGAUAUGGGUUUAUUACAUUAUUUUCUUGUAAUUGAAGUCCAUCAAGCUGAAGAUGGAAUAUUUCUGUCACAAAGGAAAUAUGCUAGGGACCUGCUCAUUAAAUUUGGUCUACUUAAUUGCAAGCCUGCAACUACACCUAUGAAUGUUGGUGAAAAAUUGCAGCUUAAUGAUAGAGCAGAGAUGGAUGAUGCUAGAAGUUUCAGAAGCCUGGUUGGAGGUUUGAUUUACCUAACUCACUCUCGUCCCGAUAUUGCAUUCUCUGUUGGUGUCGUUUCCAGGUUCAUGCAACAACCUUCAAAGGUUCAUUUUGGAGCUGCAAAAAGGGUUCUACGUUAUAUCGCUGGAACUAUGGACUAUGGGAUUUGGUACUCACAAGUUUCCAAUUUCAAAUUAUGUGGGUUCACUGAUAGUGACUAUGCUGGUUCGUUGGAUGAUAGACGAAGCAUUUCAGCUCAUGUUUUCACUCUAGGUUCAGGUGUGGUGACUUGGAGUUCAAAGAAGCAAGCUACAACAACGUUAUCAACCUCAGAAGCUGAGUACAUUGCAGCAACUUCAGCAGCUUGUCAAGCCAUCUGGCUAAGAAGGAUAUUAGCAGAACUUCAGCAUAUGCAAGCAAGUGCUACAGAGAUAUACUGUGAUAACAAAGCAUCAAUUGCCAUGACAAAGAAUCCAAGUUUUCAUAGUAGAACUAAGCACAUUGAUGUCCGCUUCCAUUUCAUUCGUGAUCUGGUAGCAAAAGAGGAAAUUGUAUUGAAGCAUUGCAGCACUCAUGAGCAAUUAGCUGAUCUACUGACCAAGUCUUUGGCAGCAAACAAGUUUAUCCAUUUGAGGGCUUUGAUUGGUGUCUGUAACUUUGAAUCAAGGGGGAGUAUUGAAGACUGAUUUAAAGUCUGACUUGGUCAAGUUAAUUUGUUAGUAGUUUCCUAUUUUCUUGGGCUGUUAGCAGUCAUGUUGCAGCAGUUCUCUUUUUUCUAAUUUAGUGGUAGAUGUUGCUUAGUUAGUGGAGUAGUGGUUAACUUAGUGUUUGCUUAUGUUUAAGUCUAUAUAAUGUUGUAUCUUCCUUUGAUGAAUAACAGAUAAGUCAAGUUACAGCAAACUAUUUGAUCCUCUUAUUUUUAGCCUCUGCCUUUAAGUUGUUUACAGCCCUUUUCUCCAACAGUUGUGCAGGGUAUAGUUGUAUAAAUAUUGUAAUGAAUCACUAUUAUACCUUGUUUGAAUGGUCGUUACCCGUUGUAUUGCAUUGUAUUGUUAGUUUGAAUAUCAUUUUUGUUUUGACUAUUAUUUAAAUUUUAUUGUAUCGUAUUGUUUAAAUCCAUGAUUAGGUAACGACUAAAAGUCUCAUUUAAUGUAACGAUCGGUUUAGCUUGAUCGCAUUUUUUUCCUUCUCAUUUUGUCUUUUACUUAUUAUUUAAUAAUCCUAUUUUAUUCUUUAUCCUACAUUUCUAUAGUAGUUCUACCCCUCCCUUAUUUUUUGUAUAGGUUUAUCAUUCAAAUUGUUGCUGUAUGACAUUAUGUAACGGCAUAGAACAAUGCAAUCUAUCCACAAUACGAUACAACACAAUACAAUAGAUACAUUACGAAACAACACGUAACAACCAUUCAAACAAAGUUUUAUAUGUGUUGGUUAGUCAAUAGCAUUUAUUUCUCACCUUGUGAAUUACGUGUAGGAACGACUUCAAGUCAAUGGUCUCACUAUCCAUGAAAGUAAAUACCAAAGAAAAACAAAUGUUUGUGGAAACAUUUUAAUUGGCCAGGUUUUAAAGUUGUGGAAAUAUUGGGAGAUUUUCUAUCAUUUUUUUGGAAAUUUUGCAAGUCUUUGGCAUUGACUAACAUGUGUGUCUUGAGUUGUAUCAUCUUCAUGGGCCAUAUUGGGUGGAAUUAUUGCAAGUUCCGUUCACAUAAGCUGUACAUCUGCUUCCUUGGAAAAUUUGAACGGCUUAAUUAAGUUGGAACUGCAGAGGUCUCUGUUCAAGGGACAGUUUGAGAAAUGAAGAGUUGUCCAACGUUUUUCUUUUGCAUCUACAAUUAGCAUAAUACAUAAAUAUGUCCGUUAACUUGGUUUUAGCCGACAUAGACCCUCUAAUUUUAGGUAUGCAAGAAUAAAUGCUUAAAUUUGUAUAAAGUUGAACAAGUAGAUACAGAUCAAUGUAGGACCAAAUUGUCAAGCUAAACACAUGUUUCUACUUGUUCAACUCUUUACAAGUUUAAGGUCAACUUGUGCACACCAAAGUUGGAGUUGCGAAAGUGGGAUUGCUUGCUUGAGGAUUUCAUUGCCGAUUUGGUGCUCGUUUUUGGAAUCUUAAUUGAAGGCAUUAGCUUUCUAUAGUUAUAAUUGUCAAUUAGUUCCUUUCGUGUGUCUAUCUUCUAUCUCGUUUUUCUUAUUUCUUAGAAUUAGGGUUUACGUCGCUAUCGAUAUUGCAUCAAUGGCUGCUAGUUCUAUAAUAACAAGGUAAAUGAAAUAGCAACAGUUUAUCCAUAUUUCUGCCUGUAUUGUGCUUUUUCUUCUUGUGAAGAUAUGUCACUUAGGCCUAACUCAACCUCAAAAGCUAGCUCAUGAGGGAAGGUUUGUCCAAGUCCCAUAUAAGGAGACCAAAUUCCCAUCCCUCUACCGAUGUGGGACUUCUUAACACUCCCCGCACGCCCAGACCUUGACUGGAGCAUGAAUUCUUCUAAAUGGGGGCCCAACAUCGGUGAACAAUAAAUUGAGAUGGACCUGACUCUGAUACCAUGUGAAGAUAUGGCACCUGGGCCUAACUCAAUCUCAAAAACUAGCUCAUGAGGGCAGAUUUGUCCAAGUUCAUAUAAGGGGACCAAAUUUCCAUCCUUCUACCGAUGUGGGACUUCUUAACACUUCUCAUCAUGUGUUGUUUAACACACUCAAUAGCUUCGACACUCUGCCUGUCAUUUUUUGUUUCUGCUUCUUCAUAUGCUAAACAAUUCAUAAAUUCAUAAAAUAAUUCAUAAAUCACGAGCCUUAUUACCCUAUUGAACUUCCUACGCUUAAGGACUUUAACUGGCUGCAGAAAAUAGGGAUCAGCAAUAUCUAACAGUGAAAUGUGGUUAGAUCAACUUCAAAAAGAUGUUGUUAUUCGACUGUUAUCUAUGCGAUGCUGCUUUUAUGGCGAGUUCUUAAACUCAGGGAAUGCAGCUUUGCUUUGGUGCUUAGUGGGGUGAACCAGAGUGUCCAAUCAAUUGGCCAAGCGAAGAAACAAUCUUCAACUCUUUAACUGAGAUUGAUGUUUGUCUUCACAACGUAGCUUAACUUGGCAACGACGGAGGUGCAAAUGGAUGUGAUAUCUAUAUGAUGGACGCAAAUUAUUAGAAAGUUGGAUUGCUUAUCUAAAUGAAGGGAUACAAAUAAGAGGAUUCAUAUAGCCGACCUCAACUAACUUGAGAUUAAGGUAUAGUAAAUUUUACUGUUGAUAUAGUGAAUCAACACUUUGUAUCCCUAUAUCUUGCUUAAAUGUUCUGAUUACCCUACUCAACAAAAAUUAGUACAAUUAUCUUUUGUUGGUUAGAUACAUUCAUGUUCUUGAGGAAUGCUAAAAAUUCUAAAUGUCAUUGGGUUUGGGUUUCAGUGUAUUAUAGACAUACAUAUAUUAGCAGAACACUACUUGCACAUACGAAAAAAACAAUGAUGGGAUGAAUUUAGUCUCUUUCCUAAAGUACUGCAAUUUGUGAAUUCUUGAAAUCCACUCGAGACGAAAACAACAGAACAACAAAGUGCUUGAUUCUCUAAUAACUUAAGCAAAUAUUUCUAGUUGCUUACAACUAGAACAUCUGUUUGAAAAGAGGAAGCUAUGCAUACAAUGUUCAAUGAUAUGUUAGUUACGUUUGAUCCAUAAUCCUCUCUAUUUUCAUCCAGUGUGUUUCAAAUUAUAGAAGCAUUCACAGUUGAAGAUUUUUCACGAGUUGAAAUAAAAUCAGUAGUACUUAACGAACAUGGAACUUGCUUUUAUUACUUAACAUCAGUAUAUUACUGUAAUUUGUAUAUAUUCUAGUACAAAGGCUCUGAAACCUUCAAAUUGAAAUAAGUAAUCUAUAUAAGCAACUCAACAAUACAGAAAGGCUAAUCUUAAUAAUAUUUUGCUGUGAAAGUUCUGAUCAACAUACUUGUUACUUCACAACCACUUGGUGCUGAGCAUAAUCUUUUCCAUACCAGGGCACCUUACAUUUCGAGGAAUCUCACUUUCAUGGAAUCUGAUGAUUGGGUGGAUCCAUUGAUAACAUAUGAGAGAUGAAGUGCAUCGUUGGCCUUGAUUUUGGAUUUUCAAGCAAACACGAGAUUGCUAGCUUGACGAUGAAAACCAAAAACUCUUUUACUUCAUCCUCAGGAUGUGGAAGGCGUUCAUCUAGCAAAUCACUUAGCUGCACAUCUCUUGUUGAUGGAUUUGCUAGAAGAGUAAGGUAUUCCCCAAGAUGCUUUCCUUUGAUUACCUCCAAUGCUAAUACUCCAAAGCUGUAGACGUCACACAUUUCCGUCACCUUCAAUGUAUAGGCAAGCUCUGAAACAAUAAAGUUGCAAAUGAGAUAGAAACAAUAUAGAGUGUGCAGAUAUAGUUCAUGAACUAAAAUAAGGAUAAGAAGUUAGAUCUUACCUGGUGCUACAUAGCCAUAUGUGCCUGCAAGUGCAGUACAAUUGGAUGAGUCUGGCUUGAGAAUCUUAGCUAUGCCAAAAUCAGAAACACGAGCUUCAAACUCGGAGUCAAGCAAAACAUUACUGCUUGAUAUGUCCCGAUGAACAAUCGGGGGUGAGCAAUCGUGGUGCAUGUAGGAUAAAGCAUAAGCAAUACCUUUGAUGAUAUUCACCCUUGUAAGCCAAUCCAAUUUCUUAGACUCUACUUCGUUGCUCAAAAUACUAGACAAACUCCCCCUCUCCACAUACUCGUAAACCAAGAACGAGUGUUGUGCAUUCGAACAAAAGCCAUAGAGUCUCACAAUGUUCCGAUGCUUAAUCCCUGUCAAUGCCCUUACCUCAUUCAUGAAGCUCUUGCGAUGCUUAAUCUCAAAUGAAGAAUGAAGUCGCUUCACAGCUACAUUUCCCAAUGAUGGAAGAUUUACCUUGUAAACACUUCCGAACCCUCCUUUCCCAAUGCAAAAUGUUGCAUCAAACUCCUCUGUGGCUUUUAAGAUAUCCCAGUAUAAUGAAUUUCCAUGUAAUGAGGAUAUUGAAAGCAGACCAUCAUCUUUGUCUAUGGAAUCCCGUCUUUCAAUGUCUCCAACUCUUCUUCUUUGGUCACGCAUAAAGAGAGCACCAGCGAAAGCACAAAGAAGCACUAAUGCUCCCAGAAUAGGAAGUACAGUGAUGAGGAUGAGUUUAAGUCCCUUCGCCAUUGAGUGCUUCUUCACCAUAGAAGAUGGUAUGUUGCAUGGCACGAAACCUGUUACAUUGCCACAAAGAGCUUUAUUACCUUGCAAUGAGGCAUUUGUGAAAGCUUUAUUAUUAGGUAUUGGACCUUCCAACUCAUUGUAUGACAAGACAACAUCCUGCAAACCAGUCAAACUUUCAAAUUCUUCAGGAAUGUGGCCAGAAAGGCCGUUGUGGGAAAUAUUUAAGCUUUCCAAGACCUUCAAAUUGGUUAACUGAGGGGGUAUUUCUCCAACCAGAACAUUAUGGCUCAAAUCAAGUACAUUAAGUUGAGUUAUACCCCCUAUCUCCUUCGGAAUAUUUUGGCCAAAUUUGUUGUUGCUCAGGUUCAAGUGAAACAGGUGAUGGUAAUCUCCUAUAAACGUUGGGAUCGAACCAUUCAAUCUAUUGUCUGAAAGAUCAAGGUAAUCUAACUUUGUCAAUGACCCAAGUUCCAUAGGAAUAUUGCCAGAAAUUUGGUUGUUUUGCAAAAGAAGAUUAACCAGAGAGGUCAAUUUUCCAAAUUCCCUAGGAAUCUUCCCAACCAAAUGAUUGGAUGAAAGAUCUAGUCCUUGAAGCCCUUUGAGGUUUCCAAUCUCUGGUGGUAUGCGACCACCAAUUCUAUUUCUGGCUAUCCGAAGAUCAGUCAAAUUCUUGCAUUUCCCCCAGUUGCUGCUUAGUUCGCCAUGAAAAUCAUUUUCGCUCAAAUUAAUGAACUGCAGCUCCGGAUAGAUACCAAAAGCUUCAGAUAAAUUCCCAGUAAAACUGUUGUUAUCAAAGCGAACCCUUUCGAAACUUGAGCAGUUGCUCAAGCUU